rnacentral:rRNA from 1 species
AGUGAACGCUGGCGGUAGGCCUAACACAUGCAAGUCGAACGGCAGCACAGGAGAGCUUGCUCUCUGGGUGGCGAGUGGAGGACGGGUGAGGAAUACAUCGGAAUCUACUCUGUCGUGGGGGAUAACGUAGGGAAACUUACGCUAAUACCGCAUACGACCUACGGCUGAAAGCAGGGGCCCUUCGGGCCUUCGGCGAAUGAAUGAGCCGAUGUCGGAUUAGCUAGUUGGCGGGGUAAAGGCCCACCAAGGCGACGAUCCGUAGCUGGUCUGAGAGGAUGAUCAGCCACACUGGAACUGAGACACGGUCCAGACUCCUACGGGAGGCAGCAGUGGGGAAUAUUGGACAAUGGGCGCAAGCCUGAUCCAGCCAUACCGCGUGGGUGAAGAAGGCCUUCGGGUUGUAAAGCCCUUUUGUUGGGAAGGAAAUCCAGCUGGCUAAUACCCGGUUGGGAUGACGGUACCCAAAGAAUAAGCACCGGCUAACUUCGUGCCAGCCGCCGCGGUAA